rnacentral:rRNA from 1 species
GCUCAACCGGGGAGGGUCAUUGGAAACUGGGGAACUUGAGUGCAGAAGAGGAGAGUGGAAUUCCACGUGUAGCGGUGAAAUGCGUAGAGAUGUGGAGGAACACCAGUGGCGAAGGCGACUCUCUGGUCUGUAACUGACGCUGAGGCGCGAAAGCGUGGGGAGCGAACAGGAUUAGAUACCCUGGUAGUCCACGCCGUAAACGAUGAGUGCUAAGUGUUAGAGGGUUUCCGCCCUUUAGUGCUGCAGCAAACGCAUUAAGCACUCCGCCUGGGGAGUACGGUCGCAAGACUGAAACUCAAAGGAAUUGACGGGGGCCCGCACAAGCGGUGGAGCAUGUGGUUUAAUUCGAAGCAACGCGAAGAACCUUACCAGGUCUUGACAUCCUCUGACAACCCUAGAGAUAGGGCUUCCCCUUCGGGGGCAGAGUGACAGGUGGUGCAUGGUUGUCGUCAGCUCGUGUCGUGAGAUGUUGGGUUAAGUCCCGCAACGAGCGCAACCCUUGAUCUUAGUUGCCAGCAUUCAGUUGGGCACUCUAAGGUGACUGCCGGUGACAAACCGGAGGAAGGUGGGGAUGACGUCAAAUCAUCAUGCCCCUUAUGACCUGGGCUACACACGUGCUACAAUGGGCAGGACAAAG